rnacentral:rRNA from 1 species
UACAGAGGUCCCAAGCGUUGUUCGGAUUCAUUGGGCGUAAAGGGUGCGUAGGCGGCGCGGUAAGUCGGGUGUGAAAUCUCGGAGCUUAACUCCGAAACUGCAUUCGAUACUGCCGUGCUUGAGGACUGGAGAGGAGACUGGAAUUUACGGUGUAGCGGUGAAAUGCGUAGAUAUCGUAAGGAAGACCAGUGGCGAAGGCGGGUCUCUGGACAGUUCCUGACGCUGAGGUGCGAAAGCGUGGGGAGCAAACAGG